rnacentral:rRNA from 1 species
UACGUAGGGUGCAAGCGUUGUCCGGAAUUAUUGGGCGUAAAGAGCUCGUAGGUGGCCUGUCGCGUCGGCUGUGAAAACUCGGGGCUCAACUCCGAGCUUGCAGUCGAUACGGGCAGGCUAGAGUUCGGCAGGGGGAGACUGGAAUUCCUGGUGUAGCGGUGAAAAUGCGCAGAUAUCAGGAGGAACACCGGUGGCGAAGGCGGGUCUCUGGGCCGAUAUUGACGCUGAGGAGCGAAAGCGUGGG